GGUCCAAUGGUCUAGUGGUUAUGAUUUCUGUCUUACAAAGACACAAUGUCUUCUUGUGCACAGAAGGUCUCCAGUUCGAUCCUGGAUUGGACCA